rnacentral:rRNA from 1 species
AACGAACGCUGGCGGCAUGCCUAACACAUGCAAGUCGAACGAACCCUUCGGGGUUAGUGGCGCACGGGUGCGUAACGCGUGGGAAUCUGCCCUUUGCUUCGGAAUAACAGUUAGAAAUGACUGCUAAUACCGGAUGAUGUCUUCGGACCAAAGGUUUAUCGGCAAGGGAUGAGCCCGCGUAGGAUUAGGUAGUUGGUGGGGUAAAGGCCUACCAAGCCGACGAUCCUUAGCUGGUCUGAGAGGAUGAUCAGCCACACUGGGACUGAGACACGGCCCAGACUCCUACGGGAGGCAGCAGUGGGGAAUAUUGGACAAUGGGCGCAAGCCUGAUCCAGCAAUGCCGCGUGAGUGAUGAAGGCCUUCGGGUCGUAAAGCUCUUUUACCAGGGAUGAUAAUGACAGUACCCGGAGAAUAAGCUCCGGCUAACUCCGUGCCAGCCGCCGCCGUAACAC